rfam:Burkholderia multivorans ATCC 17616 DNA, complete genome, chromosome 1.
UCUGCUUUCCGAAGCAGACUUUUUCGUUGACGGAAAAGAUCUCCAAACCUUUGUCGGCGCGACUUCCCAGUCGCGCUUUUUUUUG